rnacentral:rRNA from 1 species
GAAUUGACGGGGCCCGCACAAGCGGUGGAGCAUGUGGUUUAAUUCGACGCAACGCGAAGAACCUUACCAGGGCUUGACAUCUUCUGACCGCUUAAGGAAACUUAAGCUUUCCGGAAGGUUUACUUUCUGGACAGAAAGACAGGUGGUGCAUGGUUGUCGUCAGCUCGUGUCGUGAGAUGUUGGGUUAAGUCCCGCAACGAGCGCAACCCCUACGGUUAGUUGCUAACGGGUAAGGCCGAGCACUUUAGCCGAACUGCCGUUGACAAAACGGAGGAAGCGGGGAUGACGUCAAAUCAUCAUGCCCUUUAUGUCCUGGGCUACACACGUGCUACAAUGGUCUGUACAAAGGGCAGCAAAGGGGCGACCCGGAGCAAAUCCCAAAAAACAGGUCUCAGUUCGGAUUGCAGGCUGCAACUCGCCUGCAUGAAGGCGGAAUCGCUAGUAAUCGCAGGUCAGCAUACUGCGGUGAAUACGUUCCCGGGCCUU